rnacentral:rRNA from 1 species
AGUGAACGCUGGCGGUAGGCCUAACACAUGCAAGUCGAACGGCAGCACAGGAGAGCUUGCUCUCUGGGUGGCGAGUGGCGGACGGGUGAGGAAUACAUCGGAAUCUACCUUUUCGUGGGGGAUAACGUAGGGAAACUUACGCUAAUACCGCAUACGACCUACGGGUGAAAGUAGGGGACCGCAAGGCCUCACGCGAUUAG